UUUCUUCUGAAAUUCUUCUUGAAAUCUUCUCUCAAUUCAAUAUACAAUUCUUCGGAUUCAUCUUUUGAAAUCCCUAAAGUUCGUAAGUUCUUUGAAUAAUCUCUAUUCCUAGAACUAUCGUCAUCAGUGGUAUCAGCUUGGACCUUCCAUCGGCAGUUAUGGCAGAAGCAACUCGUCUGCAAACAACGAUGCGUGAACAAGAGGAGAGGUUGGAAAACAAGAUCGUAUCGAAACUCGAAAUGCGCAUAAUUGAGAUUACAUCUUCAAUUCGGCAAGCAAUUGAUGCAUCAGUGGAUCAGCGAAUCUUGGAAACUUUACAGAAGAACACAGAUUCAGAUAGUGAUGCUACAAGACGAGGUACUAUUCGCAGAGGAGCACGUCAUUCGAAUUCCAAUUAUUCUUGUGGAACGCGUUUGGCGUGAAUCGAUUUUCCGCGCUUUGGCGGUGAUGCAAUUCAAGAGUGGAUUUAUCAAUGUGAAACGUAUUUCGCGAUUGACAGCACUCCUGAGGAUUUUCGAGUGAAAUUGGUUGUAAUUCACUUUGAAGGGAAGCCACUACAGUGGCAUACUUCCUUUGUUAAAACUCUUCCAGGAGAUUAGCUUGGAGAAACUGCACCUUCCCAUGGAUCUGAAAUCAACUUUAAACAAGAGCUAAACGUAAUGGAGCUUUUUAUGUAACUGACAUGACAGUGACAUUUUCUCAAUGGGUUAGUUUUUAAUUGGAAGACUUUUCACUGGGUACAACACGAAGGAUGAAAUGUCAGUCCAGCUACAUAGGAUGAUUUCAGCUUACCUCUUUUUACCAGUCUUUCAGGUGUGCUUGUCAGGAAAAAUUAAUAUAUUGCUCUGUGGGGGGGAGGUUGUCACUUAUAUGUUUGACGCAAGGAUGAAUUUAGGUGGAGGAAUGUUUUUGAAAGAUAUAUCACAAUAUGUGGAUGUUGGAUUUCUCAUUCUUCUUUAAUCCCUAAAUUUCUACAAGGUUGGUCAAUGUUUGAAAUGCCUGAUGUGGCCAAUACAUGUUUAGAAUGGAAUACAUUACACAUUACUGAUUUGCACUUGACGCGAAUGUUAUGAAUGGGAAAAAACAAGAAGAAAGAAAGGAUACAUUCAAAGGUUUUUUAUGCACAUGGUCAAAGUGUGGAAGGGUUCCAUGAUGUUACUUAGAGACAAAUAGCAAACUUCCAUAAGAAAAAGCUUGACCACAUGUGGUACAGGAUUUUCAUUGUACGGAGUGAGUUUUGGUUAGUCAUUUUGAAUCCAAACAAGGAUUCGAGAAGUUUGAAGUAUGCUUGAUGAAUGAUGGGAAACACUAAUUCUAACUAGCUGGACAUUCCAAUGUUUUACAACUUUAUGCUAGCAAAACGGAUGAAGACUGAAUGUCCCAUACAUGGAAUGUGUCCAUAAUGCUUCAAUUUAGAAACACAUUAAUGUACUGAUUCUUUAACAAUAUUUUUGUAAUUGAUUACAAUCAGUCUGCUGGAAUAAAACCAGACAUCUGAGAUUUAAUUCGUAACCCUUAGGCCUUUAGCCACGACUUGGCCAGCUGGAAUAGGUAAUGACUAUUAAGAUCACCAAUACGUUAAAGCUUCUUAUUCUAUGAGCAUUCUUCUAAAAUUGAUAAAGAUUUAGAUCUUCCUAUUAAUACCAAUGAUCCAUGAACCAACUUAACAAUCAAACAUUAGAUUAUUUGAAAUAAUAAAAAGUAGGUGUAUAAUUACUGUUGCUGUCUUGUAUCUCAAGGGAAAUUGCCAAAAUAUAGCUUCAACAGAGAGAGAAAAAAUAAGACAAUGUAGUUUUCUUCUUAAUCUUAUAUUUUAUUUUUCCUCCCAUCCCUUACGUCAAUUAUGUAACCUAUGUGAAUCUUGUAUGAUUUAAAACACAAAAAUAACAAUAACAAUUGACAGAAAAUAGUAAAAAAGGGUUAUAGGUAGGAGAUUGUAGUCUAUCUAAGAAGGAAAGUCCUAAUUUCAAUGCAUCAAGCUUAUCGUUCUCUAUGCUGAUUCAGGCGAUUAGCUUUGUUCUUACUCUUAUAUGUUUCUUAUUUUUCUUUAGAUUAGGCUCAGAGUUCUGUGUUUUAUUAAUUUGAAAAGGAGUUGGUCUGUAUAAAUAUAUCCUAUCUAUGAGGUGCAUGUUUGUUUUGCUUAUGAGCAUCAGAAUGAAGCUUGAUCCUGAAGUUAAUGUCCAUAUCCUAAUCUCUUUUAAAUUUUGAUCCGAUCCUGAGAAGAGUGCUUUGUUUGUUUUAAGCUGCAAUAUAGAAUUGGUGCCUAAGCUUCAAGUGUUCAUGCAUUAAACCAACUUUGUUUCUACUUCUUUCACUUUAAGAAAAUAUAGGUGUGUAUGUCACUUCCUAUCUCCUUACGUGGGGAAUACAGCCAAUAAACUGUCAUUGAUUCAAAACAAAAGCUGUAAAUUACUAAGUUUGCGUUGGUUGUUAUCAUAUUUUCAUAAAUUGCUCGUGUCAAUGCAUGCAGUGUUUGCUUUCACCCAGGGCUUUGUUCAAAUUGACAGUGUCAGGGAUGAUCCCAGCCUAUUUCUGGUUACACUUAAAGCUCCUAUUGACCAUAUCACCCAGGUAUGCUGAUACAUAGUUGAAAAAUGUUGCCAUGCCUCUAACUACUGCUUGUUAUAACUUCUCUGCUACUAACAUUUGAAGUUUUAGUUUUUUGCUGAAUACUGUGCAGCAGGAAACAACCAAUUUACUGUGUCAUGUGCAUCCCUAAUGUGUAAAGGGUGUGACUUCCAUUACACUGCACUGUUUGCUCCGAGUCUUGACACCAGUGAUUAAAAUGAGAAUGAACUGGAAGAAAGGGAAUCAACAAUUCGCAUAGCUCUUGAUGCUUAAGAUCAUAGAGGAGGUGGUGGUUUCAUCAUUGUAUAGAGUUCAUUAUGGCAAGUCAUUUUGGAUCUAGAUAAGCCAAGGUGGUUGACAGAUUCAUUGGGAUUGGUGAGAUUGCUCUAUCAGAUCUAAAUUGCAAUCAAGUACAUUCUUGGGGUGAAACUCCAACACAAAGACCCAGGCUCACAAUUUUGAGAGUUUGGUUUUCUGCAACAGGAAAUGUAAAAAUCAUUGGUCAGGAAUGUCAAAACAAAGAAGAGAUGAUUUUUCAUGUUUUACUUGGUGUUGUGCAACAAGGCACUUAGUUAGGGGUCAAUUGUCUAAAUUUUCUUCACUACCUUUACCAUUUAAUAGUGUGGAAUAAGGUAUCUUUAUCACUCUCUUCAAUUUUGUCAUGACCUUGUUCAUGGAAACAAAUCGGAAAGUUGAGUGUAGCUCAGAGUUUCAAUUCUUAUGAAAAAAGUAAGGUCUCUUUUUCUCUUCACA